rnacentral:rRNA from 1 species
AACGAACGCUGGCGGCAUGCCUAACACAUGCAAGUCGAACGAGACCUUCGGGUCUAGUGGCGCACGGGUGCGUAACGCGUGGGAACCUGCCCUUAGGUUCGGAAUAACUCCCCGAAAGGGGUGCUAAUACCGGAUAAUGUCUUCGGACCAAAGAUUUAUCGCCUUUGGAUGGGCCCGCGUUGGAUUAGCUAGUUGGUAGGGUAAAAGCCUACCAAGGCGACGAUCCAUAGCUGGUCUGGGAGGAUGAUCAGCCACACUGGGACUGAGACACGGCCCAGACGCGGGCGGGAGGCAGCGGGGGGGAGCAAGGGACGAGGACCGUAAGCCUGGCACAGGAGGGGAGUGUUAGUGAAGGAGGGCUUAGCGUAGAAAGCCUCUGUGCGGGGGUAAUAAAGGGAUUAGGGCGGGAAAAUAAUCUCCGGCUAACUGAGAACGAGAGGCCGGGGAAAAAGAGCGCCGACUAACUCCGUC